rnacentral:rRNA from 1 species
AUUGAACGCUGGCGGCAUGCCUUACACAUGCAAGUCGAACGGCAGCACGGGAGCAAUCCUGGUGGCGAGUGGCGAACGGGUGAGUAAUAUAUCGGAACGUGCCCAGUCGUGGGGGAUAACGUAGCGAAAGCUACGCUAAUACCGCAUACGAUCUAUGGAUGAAAGCGGGGGAUCGCAAGACCUCGCGCGAUUGGAGCGGCCGAUAUCAGAUUAGGUAGUUGGUGGGGUAAAGGCUCACCAAGCCGACGAUCUGUAGCUGGUCUGAGAGGACGACCAGCCACACUGGGACUGAGACACGGCCCAGACUCCUACGGGAGGCAGCAGUGGGGAAUUUUGGACAAUGGGCGCAAGCCUGAUCCAGCAAUGCCGCGUGCAGGAUGAAGGCCUUCGGGUUGUAAACUGCUUUUGUACGGAGCGAAAAGGCUCUCUCUAAUACAGGGGGCUCAUGACGGUACCGUAAGAAUAAGCACCGGCUAACUACGUGCCAGCCGCCGCCGUAACAC